CACGUAGGGUGCGAGCGUUGUCCGGAUUUAUUGGGCGUAAAGAGCUCGUAGGCGGCUCGUUGCGUCAACCGUGAAAACCCGGGACUUAACUUCGGGCUUGCGGUUGAUACGGGCGGGCUGGAGUUCGGUAGGGGAGUGUGGAAUUCCCGGUGUAGCGGUGAAAUGCGCAGAGAUCGGGAGGAACACCCGUAGCGAAGGCGGCACUCUGGGCCGGUACUGACGCUGAGGAGCGAAAGCGUGGGGAGCGAACAGG
rnacentral:rRNA from 1 species